CGGCUCUGUAGCCCGGAGAAUUGGCUCCGGGGUAUCCACGAUCCGACCGAAAUCGGAUGAGACCAGGGACU
rnacentral:ncRNA from 1 species